rnacentral:rRNA from 1 species
UACGGGGGGGGCAAGCGUUGUUCGGAAUUACUGGGCGUAAAGGGCUCGUAGGCGGCCAACUAAGUCGGAUGUGAAAUCCCCAGGCUCAACCUGGGAACUGCAUCCGAUACUGGAUGGCUUGAAUCCGGGAGAGGGAUGCAGAAUUCCAGGUGUAGCGGUGAAAUGCGUAGAUAUCUGGAGGAAUACCGGUGGCGAAGGCGGCAUCCUGGACCGGCAUUGACGCUGAGUGAGCGAAAGCUAGGGGAGCAAACAGG